rnacentral:tRNA from 3 species
GGUCCCGUAGCUCAGUAGGAUAGAGCAUCAGAUUCCUAAUCUGAGGGUCACUGGUUCGAAUCCAGUCGGGAUCACCA